UACGAAGGGGGCUAGCGUUGUUCGGAUUUACUGGGCGUAAAGCGCACGUAGGCGGAUCUUUAAGUCAGGGGUGAAAUCCCGGGGCUCAACCUCGGAACUGCCUUUGAUACUGGAAGUCUUUGAGUAUGGAAGAGGUAAGUGGAAUUGCGAGUGUAGAGGUGAAAUUCGUAGAUAUUCGCAGGAACACCAGUGGCGAAGGCGGCUUACUGGUCCAUUACUGACGCUGAGGUGCGAAAGCGUGGGGAGCAAACAGG
rnacentral:rRNA from 1 species